rnacentral:rRNA from 1 species
UACGUAGGGUGCGAGCGUUAAUCGGAAUUACUGGGCGUAAAGCGUGCGUAGGUGGUUCGUUGUGUCUGUGGUGAAAGCCCCGGGCUUAACCUGGGAAUGGCCAUGGAAACUGGUGAGCUGGAGUGUGGCAGAGGGGGGUGGAAUUCCGCGUGUAGCAGUGAAAUGCGUAGAGAUGCGGAGGAACACCGAUGGCGAAGGCAGCCCCCUGGGCUAACACUGACGCUGAGGCACGAAAGCGUGGGGAGCAAACAGG